rnacentral:lncRNA from 1 species
GAAGGAGGGUGCUCAGAUUUGGCUAGGUGUAUAAUCACAGUGUUCCCAAGGUUUAGGUGGUCUUAUUCUCUAAACCUGUGCUAAGACAAUUGGAUAAUGUUGGGGCUCAGAAAACGAUGUCUCAUAGUGUGGCUCUAUAGCAUGUUGAACACAGUGAAUUAAAGAAAAUUGGAAGGCCUGAGAAGCUGCCUCAGAAUCAAGGUCUCUCUGAUCUUCCUUUGUUUUCUUCCCCCAGGCACAGGGAGAGCUCUCCCUGAAGUUCUGACUGAGGGAAUUCCUUCCAAAAGAAACACAAUUGUCUUCAAUCUCCUGUCUGAAAUCUCACUAACCAGGGAAGAUUAAUCACCAAAGAAGAAAUUAAAGAUUAUCAGCUGGGCCCGGUGGCUCAUGCCUAUAAGCUCAGCACUUUGAGAGGCCAAGGCGGGAGGAUGGCUUGAGCCUAGGAGUCCGAGACCAGCCUGGGCAAUAUAGUGAGACUCCAUCUCUACAAAAAAUAAUAGCUGGGUGAGUUGGUGCACAUCUGUAGUCCCAGCUACUCAGGAGGCUGAGACAGGAGAGUCACUUGAGCUGGGCGGAGGCUGCAGUGAGCUGUGAUCGUGCCACUGCACUUCAGCCAGGGCAACAAAGCAAGACCCCUCAAAAAAAAUUAAAAGAAAAGAUUGUCCCCACAUAGUCCCAGACACACUUUUCAUCUAUUCUUCUGAGGAAUGGUGCCUGAGAGACUUUAUCUGCGUAAUUAGACAGCCUUUGUUCACAGUGCAAUUCUGCCACUAAACUUCUCAUAAAUUGUCACCAUCUCUCUCAGAGCCCAGACUAACUUUGUCCCAGGCUAUUGUCUGUUCUUUGAGCCAAUUCAUCUCCCCUAAAAAUUAUCUAUUCUUCCUCUAAAAUUACCUACAUCCCCUCCUUCCCUCUGCCUUAUGAAGAAGGUAUUUAACCUUCAAUAAUCUGGCCCUUCUUUGAGUUUUAUACUUUGUCUGACUCCCAUGUGCUUGUACAUUUAUAAAUUUGUAUGCCUGUUCUCCCAUUAAUCUGUCUAUUGUAAGUUUGUUUAUAGAUUCGAAUUCUCAAACCUUCAGGAGGUGAAAAGAAAGUUCCUUUUGCCCUUACAACAACGUGAGACUAGCUCUGAAGUUUUCAUUAGCUAUGUGAAGCUUAUAUCUCAGAAUAGCCUCACAUACACUGGUAAAGAUUAGCAGGUCAUUUGGGCUGAUGGCAUAGUCUGGAAUAACAGAGGAGGAAAUAAAAUUUUAAAAGCUCAUGAACCCAAGAGUAUGAUCUUCAGAGGAGAGAUUUCCUAUCUCUUAAAUUCUACGUAAAUAGUGAAGUCCUAUAUGGGGGGGAUCCUUCAUCUGGGGCCUACCUUGGGCAGAAUAAUGUAGUUGUACCUCAUUCUAUCAUAGCUAAAAGACAAAGUACUUUUUAAGACUUUGCAAAAUUUUGUUCAUGUUGCGUAUCUUUUUAAAGUCUGACUCUCUGCACUAAAAUAGGAUAGCCUAAACAGGGCUCUUUUCGGAGUAAAAUUAUUAUGAGCCCAGUAGUUUUCCCAGUAAGUAAGCUAUCAGAACUUACAAAAAUAUGAGACAGAGCUUUGCAGAUGUAGCUAGAGAAAGGUCAGUUGGUGGACUUGAACUUGUUUUUAGUUUAUUUAUGUAUUCUCCAAUACUCUAGACUGUUCUAGAAAUCACUAGAGAGAAAUAAUGGUGGUAUUCCAUGCCUAUGAUACAUCACAGACUACAUUUGGAGGACUGCAGAAAGAAGCAAAAACAGAAGUUUCCAUAAUGAGUGGUAGAGAUGUGCUAAAUGUCUUCUUUUUCAAACUUUAAUUUUUAAUUUUUAAUUUUUUUUAGAGAUGUGAUAUUGCUAUAUUGCCCAGGCUAUAGUGCAGUGACUAUUCACAGGUGCAGUCAUAGUACACUGCAACCCUGAACUCCUGGGCUCCAGCAAUCCUCCUGCCUAAGCAUCCUGAGUAGUUAGAACUACAGGUGCAUGCCACAAUACUGGGCUUAAUGCCUUCUUUACUGAUCCUUGAUGGUAAAGGGGAAGACCAUUUUAGAACCUUUGAUUCCUUGGACAUAAUCCCAUGGUACUGCUCUUUAAUAAAGAUAAAUUAUAAGGAAUUGGAUUCUAUAGGGAAGAAAUGGAUGGAAGUUGUAACAAAAUGUAAUAGUAAUGAAAUAUUAAUAGAAAGGCCUAAAUAGAAUCUGUGGCAUAACUCUCAAAAUAGUCCUUUAAUAACCUCCUUUUGAAAAUAUCAAGGUUAAGACCUAGAGACGUAAAGUCCUGCCCAAAGUCAAUUGUCUGGUUAGUGGCACACAGAGCACUAAAGUUUACAUCAGCAGGUUCCCAGUUCAGUACAUCUUCUAGAGCUUCUAAAAAUUAAUGUGAAGAUAGUCUUUGCUCUAUUGAAGCAUAAUUAUAAACAUCAAAUAUUUGUAAAAUAUCUUCUAUAUAGUAGGAUGUUUUUCCUUUUAUUUAUUAGUAAAUUUACCACAAUAUUAAUUUAGUUAGUAAAUUAGAAUUUUUCUUUCCCAUUCAUCAUUUAUGUCACCAGCAGGUAAUCCUACUCCAUCCUCCCACCACAUCUCAUUUCAUUAUCACCUGGCCUCCAGAGGGUGGAAUCACUUGGGCACUGCUCAAGCUUAUGAGAUCUUAAAAUUUAUUUUUAAAAUAUUUCAAAUCAAAAAGUUUUUGAGCUGUGAAAUUUAAUAAGAUAUUGAGCUUUCUUCUAGCCUUUUAUCCACUAAUUCUACUCUUAGAAAUUACUUCCUAAAAAAAUACUUUUUAAGAAAACCACACACACACAAAAUGUCCUCUAACUUUGUUCUUUUUUCUUCCAAGUUGUUUUGUCUGUUCUAGAUCUUCUGCACUUUAAUUUAAACUUUAGAGUCAGCUUGCUACUUCUACAAAGUAGCUGGCUGGGAUUUCUAUUAGAAUGCCUUGAAUAUACAGAUCAAUUUGGAAGAAAUGACGUCUUAACAAUAUAGAGUCAUCUAAUCUAGGAAUAUGGUAUAUUUCUUAAUUGACUUAGGUCUUCUUUAACAUUUAAUUUUACUCAGCAAUGUUUUAUAGUUUUCAGUGUACAGGUCUUGAACAUCUUUUGUCGAAUUUAUCCUUAAGUAUUUUACAGUUUUGAUGCCACUGUACAUGGCAAACUUUAAUUUUAAUUUCUGAUUGUUUAUUGCUAAUAUAAAGAAAUGCAAUUGGUUUUUGAUAUUGACUUUGUACCCUGCCACUGAACUAAACUCACUUUCAGUUUUAACAGCUUAUUUGCAGAUUCUUUAGGGUUUUUUGAUAGAUGACAAUAUCGUCUGUGAAUAAACAGAGAUUUAUGUCUCCCUUUCCAGUCUAUUUGCUUUUUAUUAUUUCUCUUUCCUUAUUAGAGUGUUAGAACCUCCAGGAUAAUGUUGAAUAAAAAUAGCG